GACGAACGCUGGCGGCGUGCUUAACACAUGCAAGUCGAACGCCGACGCUCAGCUUGCUGGGGGGGUGAGUUGCGAACGGGUGAGUAACACGGGAGUAACCUGCCCCCUUCUUUGGGGUAACGCCCGGACACGGGGGCUAAUACUCGAUAUUCACUUAUCUUCGCAUGGGGGUUGGUGGAAAGGUUUUUUCUGGUGGGGGAUGGGCUCGCGUGUUAUCAGCUUGUGGGUGUGGUGAUGGACUAACAAUGCUUUGACGGGCAGCCGGCAUGAGAGGGUGAGCGAUAAGAGUGGGACUGAGAUACGGCCAAGACUACUGCGGGAGGCAGUAGUGGAGAAUAUUGAACAAUGGGCGAAAGGAUGAUGCAGCGACGCGGGGAGAGGGAUGGAGGUCUUCGGGUUGUAAACCUCUUACGCUGAUGGUAAAGCCGGAACAUUGGUUGUGGUGAGGGUAGUGGGUAAAGAAGCGCCGGCUAACUACGUG
rnacentral:rRNA from 1 species